CCUACGGAUGACAGCAGUGGGGAAUAUUGCUCAAUGGGGGAAACCCUGAAGCAGCAACGCCGCGUGGAGGAUGAAGGUUUUCGGAUUUUAAACUCCUUUUUGUAGAGAAGAUAAUGACGGUAUCUAACGAAUAAGCACCGGCUAACUCCGUGCCAGCAGCCGCGGUAAUACGGAGGGUGCAAGCGUUACUCGGAAUCACUGGGAGUAAAGGGCGCGUAGGCGGGAUAGCAAGUCAGAUGUGAAAUCCUCGGGGUUAACCAUAGAACUGCAGUUGAAACUGUUAUUCUAGAGUGUGGGAGAGGUAGGUGGAAUGCUUGGGGUAGGGGUAAAAUCCGUAGAGAUCAAGCGGAAUACUCAUUGCGAAGGCGACCUGCUAGAACCUAACUGACGCUGAUGCGCGAAAGCGUGGGGAGCAAACAGGAUUAGAUACCCCUGUAGUC
rnacentral:rRNA from 1 species